rnacentral:lncRNA from 1 species
UUAAUGACCCACAUUUCUUAAUUUAAAAUAACAUCCAACCUGUUUUCCAGGAGUCUGGAUCAGUGUUGUGCUGGGGAAUGUUUCCCUCUCACGGCUUCUCCCUUCUUCUUGCUGCUCAGUUUGUUUCUGGGGACCUGUGCAAUGCUGGUGAAAGAGACGGGAAUCACCGUGUUUGGAGUGUGCUUGGUUUAUGACCUCUUCUCCCUCUCCCACAACCAUACAUGACGAGCAACGGGGUCAUCCAUCAGCAUGGCCUACAGCAGCCUGGGAGCCCCCAGCCCUCCUCACUGGCAGCCCACUCCCACCGGGAGAACGGGAAGCAGCGGUUCCCUCACAAGGGAGUGUGGGGUGGCUGCCAUUCCUCACUUCCACCAGCACCCAAGAGCAGUGGAUUCCCGGUGUCACCGCGAGCUGUGUGGUCCCUGAUGAGUGCAUUCCUCUCUUUGUUCAACUUGUUUUGGAGAGAUUAACUCGAGGAGUCAAAACUAGUGAACUCCGUACGAUGUGUCUUCAGGUUGCAAUUGCUGCCUUGUACUAUAACCCUGAUUUGCUGCUACAUACUUUCGA